GACGAACGCUGGCGGCGUGCUUAACACAUGCAAGUCGAACGGAAAGGCCCUGCUUUUGUGGGGUGCUCGAGUGGCGAACGGGUGAGUAACACGGGAGUAACCUGCCCUUGACUUUGGGAUAACUUCAGGAAACUGGGGCUAAUACCGGAUAGGAGCUCCUGCUGCAUGGUGGGGGUUGGAAAGUUUCGGCGGUUGGGGAUGGACGCGCGGCUUAUCAGCUUGUGGGUGGGGUAGUGGCUUACCAAGGCUUUGACGGGUAGCCGGCCUGAGAGGGUGACCGGCCACAAUGGGACUGAGAUACGGCCCAGACUCCUACGGGAGGCAGCAGUGGGGAAUAUUGCACAAUGGGCGGAAGCCUGAUGCAGCAACGCCGCGUGCGGGAUGAAGGCCUUCGGGUUGUAAACCGCUUUCGCCUGUGACGAAGCGUGAGUGACGGUAAUGGGUAAAGAAGCACCGGCUAACUACGUG
rnacentral:rRNA from 1 species